rnacentral:rRNA from 1 species
UCCGUAUAACAAUACUCCGAGAACUGAAAGGCUUUUUGAAGUCUUCGGAUGGAUAGAAGAACCCCUGAUGCCGUCGAGCCAAGAAAAGUUUCUAAGUUUAGCUAAUGUUGCCCGUACCGUAAACCGACACAGGUGGGUGGGAUGAGUAUUCUAAGGCGCGUGGAAGAACUCUCUUUAAGGAACUCUGCAAAAUAGCACCGUAUCUUCGGUAUAAGGUGUGGUUAGCUUCGUACUAGGAUUUACUCCGAAAGCGAAGAAACUUACAACAAAGAGUCCCUCCCGACUGUUUACCAAAAACACAGCACUCUGCUAACUCGUAAGAGGAUGUAUAGGGUGUGACGCCUGCCCGGUGCUCGAAGGUUAAUUGAUGGGGUUAGCAUUAGCGAAGCUCUUGAUCGAAGCCCGAGUAAACGGCGGCCGUAACUAUAACGGUCCUAAGGUAGCGAAAUUCCUUGUCGGUUAAAUACCGACCUGCAUGAAUGGCGUAACGAGAUGGGAGCUGUCUCAAAGAGGGAUCCAGUGAAAUUGUAGUGGAGGUGAAAAUUCCUCCUACCCGCGGCAAGACGGAAAGACCCCGUGGACCUUUACUACAGCUUGACACUGCUACUUGGAUAAGAAUGUGCAGGAUAGG